rnacentral:tRNA from 1 species
GGGGUUGUAGCUCAGUGGUAGAGUGCUUGCCUCGAACGUGUAAGUCCCUGAGUUCGAUCCUCAGUACCA